rnacentral:rRNA from 1 species
UCUCGCGUCAGGAUAUGCCUAGGUGGGAUUAGCUAGUUGGUGAGGUAAGGGCUCACCAAGGCGACGAUCCCUAGCUGGUCUGAGAGGAUGAUCAGCCACACUGGAACUGAGACACGGUCCAGACUCCUACGGGAGGCAGCAGUGGGGAAUAUUGCACAAUGGGCGCAAGCCUGAUGCAGCCAUGCCGCGUGUNUGAAGAAGGCCUUCGGGUUGUAAAGCACUUUCAGUCGUGAGGAAGGUAGUGUAGUUAAUAGCUGCAUUAUUUGACGUUAGCGACAGAAGAAGCACCGGCUAACUCCGUGCCAGCAGCCGCGGUAAUACGGAGGGUGCGAGCGUUAAUCGGAAUUACUGGGCGUAAAGCGCAUGCAGGUGGUUUGUUAAGUCAGAUGUGAAAGCCCGGGGCUCAACCUCGGAAUAGCAUUUGAAACUGGCAGACUAGAGUACUGUAGAGGGGGGUAGAAUUUCA